AAAUAAGAAGUAAUUUUUACAUUUAGUUUCGACCUAAAAUUUUUGGAUUUAAAUAUCCCUUAUUUA
rnacentral:tRNA from 1 species